rnacentral:rRNA from 2 species
UAAACUAGGAUUAGAUACCCUAUUAUUUUAAACGUUAAUUUAAAAUGCUAAAUUAGUAUUAGUUAUUUUCUUGAAAAUUAAAAAAUUUGGCGGUAUUUUAGUCUUUUCAGAGGAACCUGUCCUGUAAUUGAUAGUCCACGAUAAUAUAUACUUUACUUUUUAGUUUACAUAUCGUCGUAGUUUGAAUAUUUUAAUAGAAGAUAAUAUUCAAGAAUUUUAAUUAAAAAAUAAAUCAGAUCAAGGUGUAGUUUAUAGUAAAGUAGAGAUGGGUUACAUUAAAUUUAUUUAAAGAUAAUUUUUUUUAAAAUUUUUUGAAUGUGGAUUUGAAAGUAAUUUUAAAUAUUAAUUUAAAAUGAUUGUAGCUCUAGAAUAUGUACACAUCGCCCGUCGCUCUUAA